rnacentral:tRNA from 1 species
GCCACGGUGGUCUAGCGGUCAGAACGCUGGCCUUGUAAUCCUGGGGUCUCGGGUUCGAUUCCCGGUGGUGCCC